ACUGUGUUCUGGCCCGGACUCACGGGCUGGGCCGACGCCGGCUGGCUCGCCUGCAGCCUCCAAACAGUACAUUCGCUCACCGCUAACAAGCCCUGUGUCCGAGGUUCACAGAGUAACAUCACCAGGCAGAAGGAGUUCAUCCUGGACUGGGUCAGAAUCCAGGUUCACCGGGUCAGAACUGGCCUCUUAGGAAGCAUCUCAGCAGCCCCGGACAUCAAGAGGAGCUCCAGUAUGUAACUCCAUGACCAUGGACAGGCUUUUCCAAUUUUUAUGUGUUUAAUAAAAAAUGCAGAACCUCU